rnacentral:pre_miRNA from 15 species
AUAAACUGUUGAACUGUGCUUAAAGUAAAUAGUCUGGAUUGAUGAAAGUUUAUAUCUAAGAAUUCAUCAACAGGCAUUUACUUCAACUGCAGUUUAAACGAAAUGC